ensembl:lncRNA
CCCAAGGGCACAGCUCCGUGGCAGAGAGCAGAUCUCAGCCAUGCUGCAUGAGGGGUUGGGGACAGCAGGACCCAAGUGAGCUGCCUUCAGCCCUGCCCAGCAGCAAGCAUCCUUCCCUCAGUGGAGAUAUGGCUAAUGGCAGCUUAGCUGUAAUGCUGCAUUUCUGCAUCACUGAAGCUCCAAGCCUCCCCCUGCACCCCAGAUUCCUCCGUCUGGUUCUCAGCUUAUCCUCAGCACACUGGUUUUGAAGAAAAUGCUGGCAAUCAAUGGAAAAAUUGUUUGCAGGACAAAAUUUAACUCCCACAUGGUAUGAAAUGAUUCAAAGCCCCAGUUCCCACUUCGUGAUGAAUCCAAGUUCAGCUUCGCUUCUGUUAGCACCACAGAGAAAUCUCAGACAAGAUAGAUGCCUGCAGCCAGAAGAAGCCUUAAAUUGAACACCUAAAAAUAGAAACCUUCUGAAUUUAUAAAUAUUUUUGCAAAUCAACCUUUUAUAACUACCUUCCUUUUGUAGCUGUGGUAGUUAGCAUUGAAAUCCAAGUAUAUUUCAGCAAAAGAGAAAGCUGAUCAAGCAACCCAGGAUAUUUUGCAGAGUUUUGCUAAUUCCAGAAGGCCCAGGGAAGGAAAUCACUGCAUGCCAAUUUCUUUCUACUGAUUUCUAUUGUCUCUACUUAUCAUAUGUUGUUUUAACAAUUCGUUGUGGAGCACUGUAUCUUCCAUACAAUUCUUACCUAGAUAAUGGCCUGAUUAUAUUCUAUAACUUUGUGUUCUCAUUCAACCUAAUUUACUCUCGAGUUAGAAAACAUUACUGUCCCCAGAGAAACAUUCAGCCCUUUGUUCUCUUUGUUCACAAAUUAAUUUAAAGAAGGAUCAACUAGAAGUGUAGAAAGUUUCUAUUAAAUCUGCUAAGAUCUCUUCCUAUUCAGAUUUGAUUUCUGUUGCUGGGGGCUACUCUUGAUAUUUAUGUGGGAUGAAAUAUUGUUCAUCCCCUUAACAAAGAGAAAGUUGCUUCCAUUCACUACUUCCAUGAACCUCAGACAGUGUUUACACAGUAUGUAUUCAAAACAUGACAGCUCUUUCUUACCAUCCUGUAC